CGCUGAGAUGCGAAAGCGUGGGGAGCAAACAGGAUUAGAUACCCUGGUAGUCCACGCCCUAAACGAUGUACACUAGUUGUUGUGAGACUAGAUCUUGCAGUAAUGCAGUUAACACAUUAAGUGUACCGCCUGGGGAGUACGGUCGCAAGAUUAAAACUCAAAGGAAUAGACGGGGACCCGCACAAGCGGUGGAGCAUGUGGUUUAAUUCGACGAUACACGAAGAACCUUACCUGGACUUGACAUAGUAAGAACUUUCUAGAGAUAGAUUGGUGUCUGCUUGCAGAAACUUAUAUACAGGUGCUGCACGGCUGUCGUCAGCUCGUGUCGUGAGAUGUUGGGUUAAGUCCCGCAACGAGCGCAACCCUCGUGUUUAGUUGCUAACAGUUCGGCUGAGAACUCUAAACAGACUGCCUACGCAAGUAGGAGGAAGGUGAGGACGACGUCAAGUCAUCAUGGCCCUUACGUCCAGGGC
rnacentral:rRNA from 1 species